ensembl:rRNA 5S_rRNA 5S ribosomal RNA
UUCUACGACCACGCUACCCUGAACAAGCCCGAUCCUGUCUGAUCUCGGAAGCUAAGCACGAUCAGGCCUGAUUAGUACUUGGAUGGGAGACCACCUAAGAAGACCAGGUGCGGUAGGCA